UCGCCAGUGGGGGGGCUCCGCCGGGCAGGGCCGGGUGCCCCGAGAUGUCGCCGUGUGGGCCCGGGCGGUUCUUCUGCACGGCGGGCCGCGGGCUGGAGCCCUUCCUCGCGCGGGAGGUGCGGGCGCGGCUCGGCGCCACGGAGGUGGACUGCGUCUCGGGAAAGGUGUUUUUCAGCGCGGCGGCGGGGCCGGGCGAACUGAGGAAGCUGCGGUCGGGGGAGCGGCUGUUCCUGCUGUUGAAGAAGCACAGCCCGCUGACAGUGUCUGGGAACAAAGGGAAAAUGCUGCAUGAGAUUAAAAGCCUUGUAAUUGAGGAACCGAAAUAUUGGUUGGAUAUUAUCUCUGUUUGGAGAAACCUUCAUGGACAUGAGGGGAAAAAAGGUGAUGUCACUCGAGAAAACCCAUUGGCUCUGAAGAGAAAGUCAGAAGAAGAGACAAAUACUGCAAGUAAAAGGCAGAAAACAGAACAAGAGAGAGAGGUUAUGUCUGAGGAAUGUCAGGUGGAACCUGGAGAGAAGUGUGUGGUGCCAGAGAGAAUCGGUGAUCAGGAGAGUCGGACUGAGAGCAACACUUCCUCAGAAGACCCUUCAAAAGACAGUAGAGAGAAUCAUACUGCAAAUGAACAGCUUAGCUUCAGAGUGUCUUGUCGUUGUAGUGGAGCAAUUGCCAAAAUACUGACUUCACAGGAAAUCGGAAGAGCCGUUGGCAUAGCACUCAUGAAGCAGUGUGGGUGGCGUGCUGAUCUGCGGGACCCUGACCUAGAGAUCUUUGUACAUCUUAAUGACAUUCACUCUGUGGUGGGGAUUCCUCUUUUCAGGUUUCCAUUGGCAAACAGAGAGUAUAUCAAAACAGCAGGACUGCGGUCAACAGUCGCAUGGGCCAUGGCAUCUCUGGCUGAAAUCCAUACUGGUGCCUUUGUGCUGGAUCCCAUGUGUGGGCUAGGAACGAUACUGCUGGAGGCUGCCAAAGAGUGGCCUGAAGCCUGUUACUGGGGUGCUGAUAUAAGUGAUUCACAGUUAGAGGGUGCAGAUGUGAAUAUUAGAACUGCAGGCUUAAUGAAUAAGAUUGAGUUGCUUAAAGCUUCAGCGAAAGCACUGCCAUUGCCUUCAGAAAGCUUUGACGCUGUGAUUUCUGAUAUUCCAUUUGGGAAGAAGUUCAAGAUCAGGAAUGAUGCCCAGUUUCUACCAGAUAUUCUUCAGGAAAUGGAGAGAGUGAUCCGUGUUGGAGGGACUAUUGUAUUGCUGCUGAGCCAAGAUCUCCGCAAGUGCAUGGAUAACCUGACCACGUGUGCUGGAAGUGACUCUCCUGAGGCCAUUGCUGAUGGCACCAGUGAAACAGCCACUGCGAAAGCCCCGAGUGUUGAUGGGAAUCCUUCCGCUGUGGCCGAUGGUGUUGGAGAGUCCUUUUGCAGCAGCAGACAGAUGCGUUUUGGGUCUCUGGUACCAGAUGGUGUCUAUGGAGUUAGUCUUGGGAAGACAGAGGCUUUCAUAUACAAAUACAGGAAGAUCUCUACUGCCAGAAACCGGUAGCUCACAUUCUUUGGAUGUCCUCAGGCACUGCUUGUCUCUGGUUUUUAGGAGAGAUGGAAGGUGCCUACUAGAGUUUCAGCUGGUUUUCCAGUAUUGUGCACAGUGAAACAGUAUAUGGUAUAUUUUAAUGAGGCAAAGUCCUCAAAUCCUUGUUAAGGCAAAGCUGCUCAUGUUGGGAGGAGUUUCUAUGGGAGAGAAAGUUUUUACUGAACUGCAAACUCAAAUGUGGUAGCAUUAAAUGUAAAUGGACUUUCACCUUCAACAGUGUUUAUCAGGAAACACAUUUUGUCUGAAGAAGUCUCCAUCUCUUUUUGAGGGGUAGAUAUAUGCUUUACCUGGCAGUCUUCUGUUUUAAAGCAUGUUUCUGCAGGACUGCCGAGGAACACGAGAUGACUCUGACAGGAUCCAGGUGGCUGCAGUGGGAACGGUCAGCUCCUGCACCAGAACCUGUGGCAAGGACACUGGCGACCUGUGUGGAGAAGCUUUUUAAGGAAUGGUCCGUCACCUAGGCAAGUGUGCACACACAUGGGAGUUGUCUGGUUUUUAAACAGCAGCGAUGGAAUCAGCUCCUUACCCUCGGGAGCAGCCGCUGCUCCUGCUGCUCCGCUUCCCCAGGGUAGGCACUGCCACCUCUGCUAUCCCCAGCUGAGGAACAACCCAGUUCCAGGCAGGCUGGAAUAGCCCAACUGUGCCAUCUUUAAGGGAGAGGAGCAGUGGAGGAGCAAAGUGCUGUGGCUGCUCGUUUGACGACCCUGCCACGUUUUGUUUGGCUGAACAGUCUUAGGAGCAAAAUAGAUGGAAUUUAUUGCGAUGUUGGGUGGGCUAAGGAUGGGGACGUGAGUGAUGGUCACAGACUCAUCUGGCCACUGCAGCAGCAGCCAGGGUGAGACAGAGGCAGAAACAGAUGCCUUGGUCUAUUGCCCUAAUCUUUUCACACCAGGCUCCCAAAGGGCCUUUCUGGAAGGAAACAGGCAGUUGGAAUUGCCACUG